CAGAGGGGGCAAGCGUUAUUCGGAAUUAUUGGGCGUAAAGGGCGCGUAGGCGGCUUUGCAAGUGACGGGUGAAAUCCCUCGGCUUAACCGAGGAACUGCCUGUCAAACUGCAUGGCUUGAGACCGGGAGAGGUGAGUGGAAUUCCCAGUGUAGCGGUGAAAUGCGUAGAUAUUGGGAGGAACACCAGUGGCGAAGGCGGCUCACUGGACCGGUACUGACGCUGAUGCGCGAAAGCGUGGGGAGCAAACAGGAUUAGAUACCCUGGUAGUCCACGCCGUAAACGAUGAGUGCUUGGUGUAGCGGGUAUCGACCCCUGCUGUGCCGAAGUCAACACAUUAAGCACUCCGCCUGGGGAGUACGGUCGCAAGGCUG
rnacentral:rRNA from 1 species